CCCAUAUUGACUGCUUGGGAGGACCAAAUAAAUAAAAUAAUAACCCCAAGGGCAGGGGCUUCAAUAAUUGAUCGCGUUAGGGUUUGGUGGUGUAUUGCUUCUCCUCCGCUCCAAAUCCUUAGAUUCCGGUGGCAGCCAUGUCGUCCAAGCAAGGUGGAAAAGCGAAGCCUUUGAAGCAACCCAAAGCCGAGAAGAAAGAGUACGACGAGAUUGAUAAGGCUAACAUUCAAAAGAAGAAAGACGAGGAAAAGG